UAUGCUACCUAUGAGUGAGUCCUUUAGUUUUUUUCAAAUUAUACAGUCAAACUUAUCAGUGGAUGCUUUCAAAUUGUCUUUCUAUUUGAUCUUUAUAUUCUUAAUACCUUAUGUGGAUUAUCCUAUUCCAAAAAUUUAUGGUAAAUUGCCAUGAUUCAAACAAUGCUUUUUUCUAGAGUUUUUGGGAGAGUUUAGACAGUUUUUUUACAGCUCAGGGGAAUUUUUUUCUAGGAUUGUUAUUGAUGCUAAGUGGGGUUAUUAUUAAGGUUCUGGUUCCAUGACCAUCAGCACCUAAAUCUUUCAAAAGUCCCUGAAGUUUUGUCACUCUAUGAUAUCGAUUGAGGGUGCAGGCUCACUCAGGAUCUUGCUGUUGGUGAAGCUAAGAUAGCAGCCAUUGGCAACAGUGGAAAUUUUGAAGACACUCAAGAUGCUGAGGAUGCAUUUCGUGGGCGCGAUGGUUAUGAUUUUGAUGGUCACCGUUUACGGAUGGAGCUUGCUCAUGCUGGAUUAGUUCAAUAAUAUAGUUGCCACCACUGGUUUUUUUAUUUUUAGGAGUUUGCAUCUCUAAGUGGAAAAAUCAAGGAAUCUGAAGAUUUGUUUAAGACGACAUAAGCAGCUUCCAUGGUUCAGGUGGAAGUAAUCAACACAAGGAAGAAAUACAGGUUGCAACUUACUUGGCUUUGAGGAA